GGGGGUAGAGCUCAGUAGUAGAGCGCGUGCUUGGUGUGCACAAGGUCCUGAGUUCAAUCACCAGUACCUCCA
rnacentral:tRNA from 1 species